UCACCAGCUCCACUUUCCUUCUAUUUCCGCCGCCACGCCACGCCACGCGCCCCUCGGCCAAGGACAAGGCUCCGGCCGCCGCCACCGCCUCUGCCCCGGCUAUAAAGCCGCGCCCUUUGGCCGCUCCGCCCCUCCUCCUCCUCUCUUCCUCCGCGCCGCGCCUUCCUCCUCCUCGCCGCGCCCUGCCCGGUCCGCUCCCCCUCCUCCUCUCUUCGUCCGGGCGGUGCCUCUCUCCUCCGACCUCCCCGCCGCGCUCCGGCCGGCCCACUGCUCCUCCUCCGCCCUUCGUCCGGGCCGCGCUCCUCGAGCCGGGUUUCAUCUUGCUCGCCCUCCUCGAUCGAUUUUGCCCGUCUAGAAUCGCGUCUGGAUUUGAUUUUGCUCGUCCUUUUGCCCGUUUAGAGUCGCGUCCGGAUUUGACUUUGCUCGCCGUCGCCGCCCCGCCUGAUUUGAUUUUGCUCGUUCUCGCCGUCGUCCGCUUAGAAUCGCGUCCGAUUUGAGUUUGCUCGUUCUCAGUUCGUCGGUUUAGAACCGCUCCCGAGUUGAUUUUGCGCGUCCCCGCCGUCGUCAGUUUAGAGUCGCUCGCUUCUGAUUUGGUUCUGCUCGUCCACGCCGUCGUCCGUUUACGUUUUUGCUCGUUCUCGCCGUUGCCCCGACGCGCCCGCAUGUUCUUGGUCCGUCUCGUCGAGGGUCUCCGUCUGGUUUGCGAUUCAGAAAUUUCUGCGUGUGCUUCUGUUGUCUGAGAGACGCUUUGGAUCCUGCGUUUCUUCGCGUUCGUGUCGGCGCGAGCGUUGCAGGAACGGUCGGGUCUUGGUUUUGAAAUUGGAUUACGGGCCGGAGAUGGAGAGGCGGAGAGCAAUUUUGUCAGUUUGUCGUGCUAGUUCAGAUCGGUUCCUAGGCUCCUGCGUUGUUCGUCGGUUGUUGUCUCAUCUCAAACGGCUAGCUUGUUCGUGUUAGCCUAGAUACUAUGGUUCCUAUGUCGAUUCUCAUUGUACCAGCUAGCUUGUUUCACUUUCGUCAGGCUAGAUGCAGGGGUGAUUUUGUUCUGAUGGGUGUUAAUUUCUGUUCUUUUCAAUUCAAUUGGUUGGUUACUUCCUAUCAUGCUCUGUGUAUGUUCCCAUAUAUGCUGAUGUGUGUUCAGGGGUGCCAUUUCGAGCAGGCAGGCAUAGCAGAAAGUUUUAAAAGAGUGCAAAUCAUGUGGCUUGCUGCUUGACUAAUUGAACACCUGCUGCUGCUACUGUAGGACAAGGUUUCCUUCUUUUAUUCCUCGUGUUGCUAUUUCCAUUUUCAUAUAGGAGUACACUAGAUGAAUUGCUGCUAGCCCCUUAGGCUUCGUUCUGAUUGCAUAGCAUUACUCCAGAAUUUUGUCAUUGCACACCUGCGCAUAUAAUUCUGCUAUGAGCAUAACUUCCAGACUUUAUUUAUCUGUGAAAGCACCUUCAUCACAUGUUUUCUAUCAAUGCUGCUCAUGUCCCUUUUGUUUGUCCUGUUAAAUUUUAUGGCAUCAACUUGGAGCAAAUUUUGUACUCAUUGGUUCAAAUAUCAAGAAUGCUGACUUCUGUAUUUGUCGCUACGUAAGCCAUGCACUUGGGAAGCCUGGGCGUGAUUAGGAUUUGGAUUGCAUAUAGAUUUUAUGCCAUGUUUGUUUAGAACCUGGUUGUGACCUAAUAUAGUGUAAAUCUGCUAAUUUUUUAAUUUCAUUUAUGUUCAACGCAAGUAGGUUUUGUUCGUAAGUGGUAUUUCUUUUGCGUGUGCAUGAACACUCACGCUGUCACUUUUUCUUAUCAUAAUCAUUUACCGUGAUGUUUGACCAUACAUUUCUACUGUUCUUUGUUCCCUUUUGAGGUUCACUGACUCAAUUAUGCAUGAGAUAUGAUAUCAUUUACUGCUGUCCAGUCACUGAAAUAAUGCUUUUCUUGCUUUGCCUUGACUUUGUGACAAGAAUAAGCAUGCGUCUCUGUGCCUACAAACUUGUGGGUAGUGAUGAUGAUCUAACUAGCUUCCUGUUUUCAGGAAUGAAGAUCUGAAUUACCCUCACCCCUCUACAGAAAUCAGUUUACUCAUUCAGUUUCUAGAACUUCUUUAUAGCUUUCUGAGUUUACUUUGGUCUUGCAUGUAUUAGCUUUCUGUUUGUACCCCCUAUCUAUGUUUGUUUCUCUGUGUGUUUCUUGUGUGCAAGUGCUCCAUUGUGUGUGUCUUGACUGUGUGUCUGACUGUGUGUGUGUGAUGUGCCCCUAUCUAUGUAUGUUUCUUUGUCUGUUUCAUGUGUGCAAGCACUCCAUUGUCUGUGUGUGACUGUGUUUGAUUGCUUAGAUGGGGUGAUUCUGAUUGUGUUACUGCUUAUAUGGUCUGUCCAAUUGGUUUCUUCUUCAUGCUUUGCUUGUGUUCCAGUGUCGUCUCCCCAUAUAUGGGGAUGUGUUGAGGGAUGCAAACCAUGUAGGCCGUUUCGAGCAGGCAGGGAUCCAGAGACACUGGUCAGGCUUCUCUCCUGCUGAUAGAUGAUGAUAGGCUGAGCAGAAAAGUUUGAUUCUUGUAACACUCACUUGCUUGGCUUCCACUCCUUUGCGUGGCCGAUUUGGCAUCCAAUGCAUCCCAUGCCCUCUUCCCUGUUUAUCUCACUCACUCAUCACAGCACCCUUUUCCCUGUUUUUGUUCCUUAUUUUUCUUACCAUACUAAUCAUGUUGGUGUUUGACACUACAUUUUUUGUGAUAUCUGUGUUUCGUUAUGUCUUAUGUGGAUAUCAUAUUCUUUUUUUUAUAUUACUGAUGUCCAAUCACUGGAAUAAUGCUUUUCUAAGUAUUUCAGGCAGGAUAUAGACAAAUGUCACAUUUGCUCUUCCUUGCGUUUCUAAGGACACUGAUGUGUCGGGUUUGCUUACAGUGCAGGACAGAUAGUUCUAUAAAGAAUCAUAUAUUGGAAUAUUUCUUUGAGAAAGAAGUUAGAUAUCUAUGACACCAGAAAUAUUUUGGCAAUUCCACGACUAAUUGGCCGUGAUGACUUCAAGUAUAAACAAAAGAUGGCUGCUUCUGAGGGUCAUCUUGAUCUGAACAACUCAUCAUUCUAAUUUUAGCUCACCUCUACAGUCAUACAAACUGGCAUGCCAAGGACUGCUCAGGGUUCCUAUCGCUUUCUGUUUUACCAACUAAGCUUGCAUGUACAUGAGCUCUGAUUGUCUACAUAUAUACUUGAAUUGCUUUGGAUUUGUCGGACUACUUUUCUACAUGAUGUUCUCCAUGAUUCAGUUGAUUUGUUAAUUUGAGUAUUUUCCCGGUGAGUUCUUUAGGUUCAUCUUGUGACUCAAAAUACAAUUUUGGUACGUGCAGACUCUGAAAUUUGGUGAUAAAGAAAAGAAUGAUGUAUAUGUAGAAUCCAGGGUGGAUGGAGGUUUUCAUGAUGGCUCUGAUGGUGUGCUUCUUGUGUUUGAACCGAAGUCGUGGAUCGCUCAUCAACCUGGUCUGUGUUUGUAUGCUGAAUUAUUUCCGGAUAGGACAGAAGUGCAAUGUUUACAUCCAUGGCAGAAGGUUCUUUAACACUGAACUCAUCAAAGGUCCUUGGACUCAAGAGGAAGAUGACAAAAUUAUUGACCUUAUAAACAAGUAUGGACUAACAAAAUGGUCGCAUUGCAAGGUCAGCUACCAGAACUUCCUGCUGCUGAUCCUGGGAUGUUUCCGAACAUGCUCCCGAACACGUUCAAUUUAUCCGCUCUAGGACAGCCACUGCCACGACACAGUAGGUUACUCGGCAUUCUCGGCGUGUUUACUUUGGUGGACUUCCUCCGAUCGCUAAUGAACAGACGGUUGCUCUAUUCUUCAAUCAAGUUGUGGCUGCUAUCGGGGGAAACACAUUUGGUCUAGGUGGCAUAAUCAUCUGAAUCCAAACAUAUGGAAGGAUGCUUGGACUACUGAGGAGGAACAUGCACUGAUUAAUGCCAUCAGGUAUUUGGGAAUAAAUGAGCAGAGAUAGCAAAAGUUAUUCCUGGAAGGUACAUUAUGGGUCUUGCUUGUAGGAUGCUUUCUGUUUGUGCCCUUUCUAUCUCUUGUGUGUGUGACUGACUGUGUGUGACUGUGACUGUGUAUGUGUGACUGACUCUGCGUGACUGCUACUGUGUGUGUGUGUGACUGAAUCUGUUUGUGACUGUGACUCUCUCUGUGUGUGUGUUUGAAUUAGUAUUGCAUUUGCUUGAUGGUGUGUGCUGUAUGCUUUGCUUGAUGGGGUGUCUUGAAUGGUUUGCUUGAUGGUGUGUCCUGAAUGCUUUGCUUGAUGGUGUGUCCUGAAUGCUUUGCUUGAAUGAUUGGUGUUGUAUGUUUUGUUUGUU